GAAAGAGUGCGUAAUAGCUCACUGGUCGAGUGACCCCGCGCCGAAAAUGUACCGGGGCUAAACAUAUUACCGAAACUGUGGAUGAACCUCUUUAGAGGUUCGUGGUAGGAGAGCGUUCUAAGGGCGGGGAAGUCAGACCGGAAGGACUGGUGGAGCGCUUAGAAGUGAGAAUGCCGGUAUGAGUAGCGAAAGAAGGGUGAGAAUCCCUUCCACCGAAUAUCUAAGGUUUCCUGAGGAAGGCUCGUCCGCUCAGGGUUAGUCGGGACCUAAGCCGAGGCCGAUAGGCGUAGGCGAUGGACAACAGGUAGAGAUUCCUGUACCAGUGCUAAUUGUUUAACCGAUGGGGUGACACAGAAGGAUAGGGAAUCGCACGAAUGGAAAUGUGCGUCCAAGCAGUGAGUGUGAGAAGUAGGCAAAUCCGCUUCUCGC
rnacentral:rRNA from 1 species